GACGAACGCUGGCGGCGUGCUUAACACAUGCAAGUCGAACGGUAAGGCCCCAGCUUGCUGGGGUCCACGAGUGGCGAACGGGUGAGUAACACGUGGGUGACCUGCCCCGCAUUUCGGGAUAAGCUUGGGAAACUGGGUCUAAUACCGGAUAGGACCGCACAGUGAGGGGUUGGUGGAAAGUUUUUUCGGUGUGGGGUAGGACCGCGGCCUAUCAGCUUGCUGGUUGUGUAAUGGCCUACCACGGCGGCGACUGGUAGCCGACCUGAGAGGGUGGACGGCUAGAUUGGGACUGAGAACCGGCCCAGACUAGUAUGGGAGGCAGCAGAGGGGAAUAUAGCACUAUAGACGGAAGCCUGAUGCGGCGACGCCGCGUGGGGGAUGAGGGCCGUCGGGUUGUAGACUACUUUUACCAUCGUCGAAGGGUUUCUGACGGUAGAUGGAGAAUAAGCCCCGGCUAACUACGUG
rnacentral:rRNA from 1 species